rnacentral:misc_RNA from 1 species
CUCUUUGACGUCCACCCACCGUCGCCUUCUCUUGUCACUUCUUGUCCCCUCUCUCUUUAGGCCCCGCUGCCUGCGAUGGGGCUGACGGCAGACGUCGGAGUUCGAGUGGGCGCUGCCCGGCGCUCGUCUCGACUGCGAAGGUGCAACACGCACCGAUCCCUACGUAUAACACGCGUGACGUGUGCACCGCCCGAGGAGGAAGGGCUGCCGAUUCGCCUCCCUCUCCACUUCUGGCGCUCACAAACGGGCUCAGCGGAUACUGAAGCGCUUCGAGUGCCGCCACAUCGUAGCUGCCGGCUGCUCCAAUGGCGACCUGUUGCAGCACCUCAUGCGCUGAGUUUCCACUGACUGAGUAGCAGCCCGCUGACGUGACAGCAGCUGAGACCGAUUCAUGUGUGCUGCCGGCUGCGUCGGAAGAGGUUACCUUUUCCUGGUUCUCUACCAUUGCCUACGUCAGGGACGCAGACGAGACACAGGGAAGCCGUGCUCAGCGUUGACGUCAUUGGCCAUAUCCCUCAGCAUCUGGUUGCGGCGUUCGAACGCACACACAUACACGCAUACACGCACAUACCCAUACACUAUCUUCGCCGAUCUUGGCGCCGCGCGCAGGGUAUCGGUGGUGCUGAGGACCACGCUGAGCAGGGGCAAGAAUACUCGGCUUGCUGGGAGGUAGUGGCACGCAGCUAGCGGCAGUGCCUGAAAAGACGUAUCGUUCACCAUCGCCAGCGAAACGAUGGAUCCGCCGCAAAAGCAGAAGGGGGCCGCUCACGAUGACGACAGCACCAAUAGCAUCCAUCGACCAUGGGAGCCAGCACCGUUUCGGCGACACGGCGGACAGCUCUUCCAGCUUACCCAACAAGCAGUGAGCGCAGCAUGUCGAGUUUUCGUGGAGGUGUGCUACAGCAGCAACUGACGCACCGCUGAGACGGCGCUGUUCGGUGACGCCUCUAUGCAUGACACGAUCUUUGGAGGGCGCAGAGACGUGCUCAGCUGCGCCGCUCAGCAUCCAAGGUGCUUGCCGCCCUCCCCUAGGUGGCCCUUGUCGCAGCGCGGUUUCGUGGGCUGUCGGCCUGGCGUCUGAGACCGGCGGCCAGGCCCGCGAUCCACGCAGUUGGCGUCAGCGCCCCCGCCGGCUUGGCAAGCUUGUCGGCGUCGUCCUCUUGCCCCAACACACAGUCACCGGCGACAAGCGGAAGCGAAGGGUACGCGCGACGGGCCAGCAGCGCCAGCACCUGUGCCCCAAUGUGCCGCAUCAUGCCACGCCACACCACCCCCUAGCCCUUGUAGGGCCCGUGCCGGCCACCCUGAGGAGGCGAGGGCGAGCCCGCAGCAGCGACCACAUGCACCUGACUGUGCCCUAUCUGAUCCCGUUGUCCUCGCAGCAUGUCAAGCUCCAGCACCAUUGCACCGCGCCCAGCGCGGCAGCGGCAAGCAAGGAGGCCGCAGCCUGCUGUCGCUGCGCCGACGGGUGCAUGGUCGUCAUGAACCAUCGCGGCCUCUCCCGACCUGUUCUCUGUCUGUGUCGCACCAUUCGCCCACAGCGAGCAAGGGAGCUCCCACACAGCGGGGGAGUCGUUGCCUGCGUGCCGCUGGCCUUUCUCACUUCAGAGAGUCCGCCCACCGCUCGCCAGAGAGCGGAUGCGUCGAAGUGCAUGCAACCGCUGCGCAUGAGGGGUGUGUGCGCGCGUGUGCUACCCCGAGGGGGCCGAUACGUGCAUACUCGUGUGAGAGCUGCCGAAUUUUUUUGACGACACCGCAGCACGAAGUGCGCACCUCCCGCGCGAAAUGCGCAACAUGGCCCCCCUCGCGCGGUCGCGGAGAGAUGCAAGCAGGUGCGGCGACGCAGCUCCAUGGGAUCAUGACGGCAGAAUGUCGGCCUUUUCGAGUGAGUCUCCGCUCUCUGCAUGUUUGGUGGGCGCUCACCAUGAAUGCGGCUGCUUUGGCGUGGGGGUGCUCGAGAUGUGUUCUUCUGCUUCUGCCAGCACUGCUCCGCGAUGCGGCGGCACCAUCGCGUCGCCCUGAUUGACGCAGCGCCAUGCAGGAAGCGCCGGGGAGCCUUUUGACGGGCCCUGCGCGUGCGCGCAGACCACCCUCGCCUCGGCAGGUCAUGCCGUGUAUACUUUGAUAGCCGCUGCAGCAUGUCGGCCAGCGCCGCGCCUUGAGUGGAGGUCUAAGCCGGGAAGGUGGCGUUGGUGGUGUGGGAUAGCGAUCCUCUUCCGGUCAACGCUGGCGGCAUCGCGUCAUAUGCUUCCUGAAAGUGGAUAGUGGACUGCGUCGUGCAGUCGUGGCUCGGCUCCGUGGUGACGGUGCCCCAACCGCAGGUGAGGCAGUCGAGCGCCCGGGUGACGUCCGUUGACGUGUCCGUGGCCCCGUCUGCGCUGUGCCAUGCUGGGGUGUCCUCCUCCCUUUGCACGUGUCAAGUAUUUACGAUGGGGCCAAUUGUAUGGAAUGGACCGGGCUCGGUCGGGUUGUCCUUUCGUGUCCCACACCGGGUGGUGCGAGUUGGCGUCCAUUCCGACAACACGAGGGCUGGGCGCGACGCUGCUUUGUAUCUGAUCGACAGCACUUGCUGUCCCACCAGGGCACCUGCUGUAGGUGUGUAGCCGGACCUGAGGCUAGUAUCCGUCUAGUAGGGUCACUGCAGCACAUCCAGGCUGCCACUGCUGCAACUUAGCUCUUUAGAACGGCAUGGCGGAGAAGGAGGGGGCUACACCUGUACGUAUGUCCUCCUGCUUUCGCACGGAGGCGCCGCCACCACGCUCUUCGCCUCGUGAUAUGCCAGAAUGCUGAAAAGACGGGUGGCCACAUGCCUUGCAGGCCCGCCAGGAUGGAAUGCGUCUCUUGCAGAACACAGAAUGCUAUUGCAUACUUGCAAGAAGCUGGGCACGCCGACGCCCUUCGGCGUCGCUCAGCCCACUGCCAUUCUACUGCGCAUACACAGCAGCCGAGGCCCAGAACUACGCACGACAUCACCGCAGCGCAGUAACAGCAGGAGAAGAGAUGGUGGAUGCGUGUACGUGCUGAAUACGCGGGCAGGACUCGUAGUGGGCUGGCCCAGGCGUGAGCAUGGCUAUACGUCUCUUCGGCACAGCGCCAGCCAAGCCCUGUCCACCGGCGCCAGAGAGCCCGCAGCCGCACCAGAGGGCAGGCUGCAGGCUGCUCGGCAUUAUCACAACGAGUGAGUAUUGGAUCAUGACGCCAGCGUGUGGUGGCCGGCAUCAUGGAGGAGGAGGAGUGCAAGGGAAAUGGUGGCGAGCUGCUCUUGACGAAACGAGCCAGCGAGCUUCUCAUGCCGCGUCCCCGUGGGAGUGGUUUUGUCUUCCCUUCACGGAGGCACGCUCGCAUGCGGGCAGAGGCCGAUAUAUAUAUAUAUAUAUUUGGUCAGCAACCGCCACGGCGAUGAGCUCAGUCGGCGAUUUUUUUUGCUUGGCCUAGCGGUGUGGCGGCUCCCAUCACACCGCUGCUGGCGUGCCGCGGUUUUGUCUCUCAUCUCGCUUCUCCCUCUCUGUCUCAUUCUCCUUGUUUUUUUUUUUUCGGGCUCGGCAUCGUGCGUACACGCAAG